rnacentral:SRP_RNA from 9 species
GGCAGGAAGCAGCCGUAGCACUGCUGUGUCUGUGGCUGGAU